AGCCUUGGCUGCGAGAAGACGUGCGCUUUGUUCGUACCGCGAGACACCCUCUAUCGCGGCUACGCGAGAGACUCCUUUUUCUCUUUCUCUCCCUCUCUCGCUCGUGUGUGCGCGCGCGUGUUUUCGUGUUUGUGUGUUCGUGCGUGGCUUGCUAUCUGUAACGAGAAGUGGCAGUGUUUCUGGCUCGGCCGCAGGACCCGGACGGUCAAAGGUACCACAUUGGUCGUUCGCGAGUUGCCGAAUGAUAACUCUGCCCCGUAGCCGGAAUCACUGUGCCGUGGCCAUCGAGGACUCGACCGAGCCUUUCAAGUGUUCUCUAAUUCCUUUCUCUGUUUCGCGCUACCGUGUUUUUUACGGGCAAGUACCGCCCCCUUUCCAUCUCCGUUACUCCACCGAUCGGGACGUUCUGUGGCCAGCUGAGCGUAACUGACGGGGAAGAGGGAGAACUGCUUGUGCGUGCGUGUGUCAAACAUAACCUAACGUCGUUACCGUGGAUGGUAGCUAGACUAAACCCGAAAAAAGAGCGUAGCGCGUUCCAAUUUCAACGCAGCUGCGUUCGUGACAUUCACGCAUCCGACAGCUCGUCUUCGUCGCGAACAGUUAUCGAGCGCUGAACGAAUUCGGAGGGCCAAAGGAAAACUUUCGCCCCGUUCUCGACGCUUCCAAAUAGAGCGUCCGACACGCAACGCCCCGAUUACCACCGACGCGACGUACGCGAAAGGACAUCGACUCGUUGUUUUCCUUCCGAAGGUUAUCCUUUGCAUAUUAUUGCCUCUGUCGUAGUCGCGAUAAAAUAACAUAAUCGCACCUUCUCUGCAUCGAGCGUGCAACCGUGAGUCCUCGUCGACCCCCGCGUUCUGCAAACUUUAACCCUUCCCGCCGUCCAUCCACAGACGCGCGAGAUUCGAAACGAAGGUGCAUCGUCGAAACGAAGGACGACAGAUCGCUCCAGGUAAAUCGAGAGAACUGCGUGUUCCCAAAAGAACGCUAUGGAAUUGAGAGCUAUUUCUGACAUCCAAUGACUUUUCAGUAAAUCGACGAUCUCAUCUCGGGACGUACGACACAUCCAUCGGUUAAUCCCUUUAACUCCAGUUCUCCAGUCCGAUCGUUGAAAACAAAAGAACGGUGUCUCUGUUCGGACAGAUGUUUCCGUCGAGAAGACAGUGAAACUGAGCAGUAACGAAGCUCGUGUCAGUGUCACGUGCGUGUCGGCACAAUUACAAGAUUCAAGAAAAAUAGAAGAUAGUGUUUCCGAGGGGAGGUGAAAGAGUGAACGGGUAGGGCAGGGAAACGAGCGAAAAGCUCUCGAAGAAGGAAGACAGGCGUAUCCCGGGUUCCCUAUAUCAGCGGGGGCCUUGGCGGUGGCGGUGGCGGUGAAUCGGUAAAGGGUUAAAGAGGGUGGCCCGCAGGGAAAGGAGAGGAGAGUUUUGAUGGCAGUAGUUGGGCCCAGCCGGCACUCGCGGGUGUCCAUGAGCGUGUCUAUGUCAUUGAUGCAGGGGGGCGGGGCGGGGGCUGGCGGCGGUGGCGGGACAGGGGGGGCCCACCCGGGACAAGCGGUCCUCGCGGCGGCGGCCGCGGCUGCGGCUGCGGCCCAGGCGCCCCCCACGUACUAUCACCCUGCCGCACCUGCACCCCCGCCACCGCCGCCAGCUCAGGAUCCUGUGCAGCCCGACAGACCCAUCGGAUAUGGUGCCUUCGGCGUCGUAUGGGCGGUGACGGAUCCGAGGGACGGUAGAAGAGUGGCCUUGAAGAAACUGCCGAACGUCUUUCAGAGCCUGGUGAGCAGUAAACGGGUCUUCAGGGAGCUGAAGAUGCUCUGCUUCUUCAAACACGAAAACGUCCUUUCAGCCCUGGACAUCCUUCAGCCACCGCAUCUGGAUUUCUUCCAAGAAAUAUACGUGAUCACGGAGCUGCUGCAAAGUGACCUGCAUAAGAUCAUCGUCAGUCCUCAGCAUCUCAGCCCCGACCACAUCAAGGUCUUCCUCUACCAGAUACUCAGAGGUCUCAAAUACCUACACUCUGCCAGAAUUCUACAUAGGGACAUUAAACCCGGAAAUCUUCUCGUGAACAGCAACUGCGUAUUAAAGAUCUGCGACUUCGGUUUGGCUCGGGUGGAAGAACCGGAUCAGAACAAGCACAUGACGCAGGAAGUGGUGACGCAGUAUUAUCGUGCGCCGGAAAUCCUGAUGGGUGCGCGACACUACACAGCCGCCGUGGACGUAUGGAGUGUCGGUUGCAUUUUCGGUGAACUGCUUCGUCGCAGGAUCCUUUUCCAGGCACAGAGUCCUGUGCAACAGCUGGAACUGAUCACGGAAUUGCUGGGCACGCCGACCCUCGAGGAUAUGAGGUACGCGUGCGAGGGUGCGAGAUCCCACAUGCUCAGGCGCGCGCCAAAGCCACCCUCGUUGACGGCCCUCUACACCCUCAGCAGCCAGGCGACGCACGAGGCUGUACAUUUGCUUUGCCAGAUGCUAGUCUUCGAUCCCGAUAAGAGGAUCACCGUGGUGGAUGCACUGGCGCAUCCUUACUUAGACGAGGGUAGGCUGAGAUAUCACUCGUGUAUGUGCACGUGUUGCUAUACGACCAGCGGCGGGAUGAGGCAGUACACGGGAGACUUCGAGCCGGCCACGUCGCAUCCGUUCGAUGAUCUAUGGGAACGGAAGCUGACCACCGUGCAACAGGUCAAAGAGGAAAUGCACAAAUUUAUAGCAGAACAACUGAAUACAUCGCGGGUGCCGCUUUGCAUAAACCCGCAGUCCGCGGCGUUCAAGAGUUUUGCAAGUUAGAGCAAGCCGAUCGCCGACCCAGCGCCCUUCGCCGCGUAUACGUACACGUUACUACUACCACUACCAGUACCGAAUCAGCUAUCUACUACCACUGUCAGCUACUAUCGACUACUACCGCUAUCGUCUACCACUACUACUACUACCGCUACUACCACUACUACUACCACUACUACUACUACUACCAAUCGUGUUACGUCUCCUCGUGAACGAACCGAACGAACAGAGAGUCAGCUCUAGCCGGCACGACCUCGCUCGCUGAGCUCCACGGUGGCUCAUCCCUCGGAAUUGCCACCCUCUCCUCAUCAAUGGGAAUAAAAAGAUCCUUCCUCCGAAAUCGCAAACACGGGCGCCGAAGUAAUCGCUACACGCGAAGAGAGAAGACGAAUUUCCGACAGCCUGAAGAUGGAAACGGGAGACGGGAACCGAGAGAGAUGGACAAAGGAACGUGGGGGACGAAAUAAGCGUGGAAGGGUACGUAGGCUGGAACGGGAAGAAACUGCGAGAUUCGGGGUGGACCGAGAAGAGGAAGAGGAAGAAGAAAAGCCAAGAGAGACAAUAGACUGCCGAGCACUAAAGCCUCAAUUUUCGACUAGCUGAGAUAUAUAUAUACAUAGUCACGUGUAUGUAUAUAAAUAUCUAUUAAGUAUAAAUAUAUUAUACGUACCGCAGUAUACAUACGUGAAAGAGGGAGCCUAGAGAGGAAGAAAGUAAAAUACACGCGCGAAAGCGUUUAUACAAAGUUUCAAAGUUAAACUAGGAGGUCCACCUAUCUACACCCAAAAACGGUUCUUUUUCUAUCCAUACCCAGAAAAUCCUUCUCUUCGUUUCCUCGUCCUUUGAAUUCUGUGUGUCCUCGAUAGAACAAUGUGUAUUGGAAUUAAAUCGUCCGAUGAAUCUAUCAUGUAUUUUAGGAAUCCUCGCGAUUCUUAUUCUAUCUUCAGUCACAGAAGGUGGUUUCUUUAAGAUGAGAGAUCAUCUUUUCACGUCAAAUAAGCUAGCAAUGGAAUAGCUUACAACCAAAAAUGGGAUCGUCAAAAUCGUGGGAACCGGACUCGGUUCUCGUUUGAAAUCCAUGGUUUCGAAGUCAAUCGUAGCUCGCUGAAUAAUUAGCGAUACAAUUAACUCAAAAACCGCUUUCGUCCUUCCUUCGCCAAGAAUCGCAUCAGCCAACAUGUCUCGCGAAGGAAUAAUCGACGCGCCUGAGAAUCGAUGGAAUAAGACGUAUAGACAGAUUGUAAUCGCGAUCGAUGGAAACGAUACAGGUUUUCAAUCUCCUGUCUUUAUUUCAUUUCGCCUUAUUUAUUUUUCUGCAUUUUUUGCUAUAUCCUCGUGAGGCUCUUUUUAUUUAUACGUCGUACGAUCGCCACUGUUUUUAUGCUGCUUCUUCUCGAUUUUUUUUUGAGGAGGUACAAUCGUGCACAAAAGCGGAAGGAAGAUAGCCUCGGUCGUUCUUUACGAAUGACCUGUUCGUGAUUAAUAAUUACGUCUAAUAUGUAUAUAACGUAUUUGUCAAUGGAACAACUUUUCUUCCGUCUUGAUACCGAUAAAGCGCGUCGCCACGCUAUUAUUUUUUUCAUUUUUCUUUUAGAUGCGUACGUUACACGUAUUAUAAUAGAAGCGUGUAAAAUAGUAAAAUGAACUGAAAGUAAAAGAUUAUUCGUAGAUGGAGCAACCGCGAGUACUCCGGUUUACCUUGUACCUGCUGAAGCGGAACAACGAGAGGAGUCGUUUUUCUCGAUCGGAGAAAGUAUCUUGGGAUCUCGAAUUUAACCGUGAUCAAUUGCAGAACCGUGCGCAUGGGAUAGGUUCCUCAUGAUGGAUCCGUAGAAUCGAUCACACGCACCUUUUAUUCCGAUCUAAACGGAUUUCGAACACGUUAAACCACCUUACAACGCGUUAGAGUUUGUAAUCACCGUGUCCCAUCGAUGAUACACGAUCGAACCUCGACGAAGAAAGAAAACAAGAAACAGCGAGCGCCGAAGAAAGAAGAAGCAGUAUAGAAAAACUGUAAGAGAAUUGAAAUUGAGGGUCGUGGAUAAUCGCAGACAAUUUUCAAAGUUCGGUGAAAAUAAUCCUGACUUCAGAAAGGAUGUAUAGUUAAAAUCUGGAAUCGUAUUUUUAAGGCUUUGAAGGAUAGAGAGGACAUUACUCUCAGUUUGGAGAGAAUUUGAAAAGCCAUGGAUUUUCGAUUGCGAGCUAUUCUAACACUAGUUCGUUUUGACGUGAAAAGAUGGUCUCCAAUAAAUGGUUUAGAUGGAUUAAUUCCAAUAAAUAUAUCCGAGGACCGGAGAGUUCGAAGGACGAGGAAAUGAAGGCGAGGAUUUUCCAGAUGUAAAUAGAAGAAGAAUCGUCCACGAGUAGUCUUUGGGUGUAGAUAGAUAGACUUCCUAGUUUAAUUUCAAAACUUUGUAUAAGCACUUUCAUAUGAGAUCUCGCUUUGGUUUCUCCUUUUUUUCUUUUUAUUUUUAGACUUGAACGAUCGCUCGAAUCACGGCCUCCGGAGUAUAUUUGCCGAAUCGCGUUUCAAUUAGCUAAUUAGGUCUCAUUAUUUUAUACGCGACAUCAUUCACGCGAACGAGAUUAUCGUCGUAAUCCUUUUAGAAAGAGAUAGAAUUAUCUCUCGACUCGGAUCGCCAAUCUCGUCUGUAUUACCAUGUAAUAUCUAACAAUACAUCACCGUUACGAGUCGAAUUCGGGCGCACUCUGAGGCCGGACGAUGACGAGCUCGCGGUGUAUUCAUAAAUUACGUUCUGAGUGUGAUUUUUAGUUUAAGGAAAAACUUAGGUAGCCAGUAGAAUUUUCACGUGAAUUAUCUUGUAGGAUAUCUUUAGGUAGCGAUUUAGCAUAGUAGCAACAAAAAAAGAAUGAAAAAAAUGAAACCUCGUUUUUCAUCGAGAGACGAAAGCAACGCAUGUGUUCUCUUUUUUAAGCAGACUCAACUAAUUUCUACUACGCAACUAUCGUGACGAGAUUUACUUUCUUAGACCGAUCCGCUAUCAGAUUUGCCUCUCUACCAAUCAUCCCUUUCGUCGGAUCGGUCUAGGAAAGUAAAUCUCGUCAAGAACGAUCGAUUGUCUUUCAAAACCCGGGAAAAAAGGUGUGUACGCUCGAGCGAGGACUUCGAAGGGAGUAACAAAUUCGCACUCGAUUAACACUGUCAGUUGAAACUAAAUUAAAAAUAUUGCAGUAAUAGGAAAAUAACUUGCAUUUGCAAUGCACGUGCAAUUUUAAAUCAUUUAAAAUGAAUUAAUUAGAAUGGUAAACAUUCACUGCUUAUGCGAUGUUAUCAUAAAUCAACUUUGGUUUAUGAAAAUGUAAUACGUAGUUCAAUAAAUAUAGACAAUUCGUUCCGAUCAUACAAGUAGCUAAUGAAUUACUUUAGAUCACACUUCUUGUUGAUUCAUUUUGCGUAAAGAAGAUGUGUGGAAGAGUUGAGUUUGUUUUCUUACUGCCGCAAUAUUUUCAAAUUGAAAUUUGCCAGAUGCGUAUAACCUAUACAUUGCGACACGGUAGCCUUCUUUCGUCGAAGUCUUCAUUUUGUAUAAUUGACAACCGCCGAUCUGAUCGUGUUUCGGUUUAAUUAACCGAAGCGCCUGUUCGCGUCAUUCUUGUAAAUAUAGGUCAGUCACACCAUGUACAUACAACAAUUACGAUAGUAGCUCAUUCGAAUUUUUCAAAUCAUUCGUAAACGAAAAUCACGAGCGAUCGUGGCCUCGAUUAUACGAACAUUUUCGUAUCGCAAACACAUAAAUGGACUACCUUGAUCAUUGAGAUCAUCUCACCGCUUUCAUGUAACACUGUAUUCAUCCACUUUCACGGGAAUAAUAUUGAUAAUGUGUGCAAUUCGUUGAUUUUAAGGUGAUCUGUGGUAUAAUAAGUAUGAUGAAUUUAUCUAAUGAAUGAAUUAAUUAAUAAUCAAGCAAGCAUGCAAGGAAUAUAAAAAGAAUAUUUGGACGGAAUACGAGCGUUUCUUAAACUUUGGCAAAUGUUCAUCCGUUUUAAAUCGUUGAUCACAUUUUAUAAAUACGAAGCUGCUUUAAUUAUUUGUACGGGACGUUUCGCUGCUUUACGAAUUCGCGAAGCUUCUCACUUUUAAAAUUCGAACUUCAUUUAAAUGAGUUUUUAAAUGUAAAUGAAAACCUCCGAAAUGGUUUCCUCCUAGUUUUAUCGCGGACUUUCAUGGCCCUACUAUUCUUUAACACCGUUUCACAAGACUUCGGUCCAUCCGGAAGCUGAUGUACUCAGCGAAUCGAAGUUGGCAGUUUUCUUGGAAAGUGCUAAAUUGAUUGAGAGCAAAAGGAAGGCCGGAAGGAAUUCUUUAUCUAUUUGAGAGGUAGAACGCCACGGUCCCGUCUAAGUUUUGCAAUAGUCCGAAGUUGUAAUUUAAUUGAUCAUCGGCGGAAAAGCGCGGAGGAAGGUAAAAGGCAGAACGUAGAAAGCGAAACGAAAGUGUACGUAUGCAUGCGAGAAAAGAACAAGAAUGGAAGACGGAAGAGACACGUAUGUGUGGCUCGCGUGAAAUUGAUGUUUCCUAUUAAACGAGAAAUAAAAAAAACAGAUGUGUAGAUGUUUACUCAACAAGAUUUGUAAAUAUGUAGCUCACUGUAGCUGGUCAGUUGGGCAUUUAAAUUGUAAACGUACGUUUAAUUAUUUUACCUAAUGUAAAAUAAUGAGAGUACAAGUAGUCUCCAUCUUGUCGCUUUUAAUUAGGUACCUAUGUAAAUUAGAUAAUGACUAGUUAAAAGCGACAAGAUGGAGGUUCCUUGUAUUCUUGUAUACAACUCUAGCGAAUAUGCCUUCAUUAUGGAAAGUGGCUGGCAGAUGAUGCACCAAACAAUAAAGAUAACUGCAGACAUGAAAAAAAAGUAAAAGAGAAAUAACGUAAACUCUUGUCUCCGAUUUGGCACACCAUUUUUUCUUUAAUUCCUACCUCAACCCACUUUUUAUUUUUCUCCGUUUCGUCUUUCUUAUUUUCAUCCCUGAUCGGACCAUUUCUUUCAGGUUUUUAGUCCAGCAUUACGAGUUCAAUUCAGCUUUGCUUUUUCAGUCACUUUUGUUUAUCCUCGGAGAGACAGAGCCAAUUGGUGGAAAAAUUGAAUCGAGAACCAUGAAACUGACAAGAGAUAACGCGAUCACAGUGAGCCACACGAAGUUUUAGAAAAUAUUUUAUUCUGAAAGAGAAAUGAGAAUUGCGAAUUAGACAUCAUGUGAAAUUUCAAUUACUCAAGAUCACUAUGAAAGAAAUGCAAAGGGGGAAUUGUAAAAAACUAAUGAAAACCGAAGACCUGUCUUUUCUUUAUUAUUCAACAAUAAAAUAGGAGGCUUCCUCAUCUGUCCUGAUAUAAAUAUUUUCUCGAGGACAUGAUUCCGAACAAUCUACCGCACUUACUCUCUGAGACAUACGCAAAAAUAUAUUCGAUAGUUCAUUAAUUUCAAAGUGAUUGAAAAUCUUUGCAAUAGUUAUAAAAUAAUUGGCUGGCGUGUCUCUCUGAGAAUCUUACACGUGCGCAGAUCAGAUUAUUAGUCGAACGACGAGGCAAGAGGGUCGUAGAUUUUUGCAUCCCUUUAAUCCUAAACGAAUCCAGAGAAUUUCUAGGCCAAGCACUUUUCGACACUUCUGCGUGUAUAAUGGACGGACAUAAAGCACGUUUUGAGAAGGGAGAAUAGUUUAUUCUGUCGCUUCGUUCACAUACGAAGAUUGGAAACGUGACGAUCUGUCGUUAGUAACUAAGAGGCCUUAACAAUAUUGCGUUUACGAUGUAACAACACAGAUACACGAAUACACAUGUUGGAUCAACUUAAGCAUAGAAUAGAACACACAUGCAGGAGAUAGUAUUGAGCACGAUCCAAGAAAUUAAUCAAUGUAAUUAAAGGAACUGGAGGGCCCCGCGACUAUGCAUAAGUAGAAUCUACUUUCUAUGUACAAUCGUCACUUUCCUGUAUAAAUAUACAUAUUACGCAAUAUGCAUGUAUAUAUACAAUUUGGGAAUUCAAAGGGAUUAUGAUAAAAUCGCACUGUGUAAAAUAUAGAGAUCGUGAAGUAUUUAGUUUUGGUGUUAAUUGAUGUGUAAUGCACUAUCAUUACCUUGAAAGCGUAGUCGCAGGGUCCUGAAAAAAAUGGUUUCAAAAUGCGGAUCGCUUUGUUUCAUUCUGCACUGAUUUAAGGACGAGAUAUUAAAGAAGCGUUUACUAGUUUGAAAGCGAAUGCAAACGACUUAUCAUUGUACGUUGGUUACUUAAAAAAUAUUUCCAAAGUUGAAAAUGCUUUUCUAUCUUUUGUCUUAAAACUGUUACUAACGUAAGUGAAGUGAAUUAAAAUGAAAGAUCGUUCAAUUUUUGGGGCACUUCUCAAAUUCGAAAUUUAGUAAAUAAAAAGACAAGGAAGCAGAAUGGAGCAAAGCGAACUGAUUUGUACAGACGCCGGAUCAGAUGUGAAAUACGGGUUCUGAAGCUGAAUACACGGGAUAAAUGUGUAUAUCAUUUCGCACGUGCCACGUUUACAGCGUAUCGAAGUUCUUCCCUGGGAAUACAGUUUCUUCGCAUCAGCACUGCCAAUUUUAUCAUUGUUAGAAUAAAAUGAAUAAGUCGUCAUCAUCGACCCUAUUCGCUUUGCUCGUGUUUAUUCCAUUUUGGUCUCGUUAAUAAAAUCGAAGACGCCAGAAGGAUUUCUCGAAAAGCGUACUUUCGAUUCUCUAAAUGCCCGUUUCUGAUAAUGAUUUUUAGUUAUCAGUAUACGCGAAUUUCUGUGCAAGAUAAAUUUACAAAAUAAAAUCUAUAUAGAAAUUUAUUUUAAGACUAUUAAUAUGCAUUUUAUUUUUUGUCCUAUGUCUUGAACAACUAUAUGCAUUUUGUAUAGUUUCAUUAGAUACAUUUCUUUUUAUGAAUGUAUAAAAACCGCAAUGUAAUUGUCAGUUAUUAUCGAUGUACUCCAAUCUAAUUUAAGAAAGUCGAAUGCUUUUCGAAGAAUCUGCCUAAAGUUUCCAAUAGUUUCAAAUUUUUAUAAUAGGGCAGGUGGGCAGAUUGAAAGAGAAAGUAGUUCGUCACGUGCGUGUAAUAUCUGUAAAAAUGAAGAUAUUGUAGCAAGUCGAUCGACAAAUAGGAGUCAUCGUCGAUGAUCGUUGUAUAUAACUCGACACUCUUUUAGUACUUCUAAGCAUGUAAAUAUGAACGUUUUAACCUCGAGAGAUUCGCGUACCUUGAAAGUAGUUCGAAGCCUUUUCACAAUUAGCGAUAAAGAAAUAAAUGAUGAUAACACGUCGAUGUUCCCUUGGCACCACUUGGGGAAUUACAUCAAAAGAGAGAGAGAAAUAUACGUGUAUAUAAGGAAGAAGCGAGUAGACACAAACAGAGAAGAGAACCUUAAAUACGUUGUUGUACAUAGUAAAAAUUAUAAAAACUGAACGAAGAAGUCUUUAAGGUUCUAAUGUUUCAACCAUGUAAAAAUUGUUUAAAAACUAACAAUCAUAUAAAUGUUAAAAUGAACAUCGAGCUGUAAAAAUUUCGCUCGUUUAUAAGAAUUUUCCAACCUACCAUUUUUCUAAUGACCUAUUUCCUUAAUUAAACAGUUAAAUCCUGAAACAUAGGUUCAAAAAUAUUUUAUUUACUGUUAAAGCAACUUCAGUUGCAUUUGAAAUUGUUUGACAAAACAAAUACUAAUUCCUAAUCGUUUAACUGUUUUCCAAAUUUUCUUUCCAAACAAAUUGUUUCCAGAUUUCUCUUUUAUCAUAACUUAAUUUUAUCCCUGCCUCUCUCUCUCUCUCUUUUUCUACACACGUGCGUAUACAUACGUAUUAACAUAUAACACCGAUAAAUGUAAAAUAAACUGAGAAAUAAUAAUACUUUAGAGAUUAGGCUCAACGAUCCGGCACUUUAAAAAGAUAAUUUCGUACGUACGAACGGGCUACUUUUCAAUCAUCAACUAUCUUAGUUGCACUUUCGCCGACACUUCGCAAGUCCGGUGUGAAUGGAAGUGUCAAUGAAACGAUCAUCGCUAAAGUAAACGAUUAUCCACGAUUCGAAAGUAACUCUGACGUACGUAUCGAGCGAGGAUAUAUUUUUUUUAACAAAAUACCUCGAUGGCAUGACAAUUUUACUCGUAUAAUUCGUGGCUGUUAAACUCUUUUCUCACAAUUCAUUCAUUGUAUAUGAAAUAUACAUAUAUAUAUAUAGCAAGUCUCGAAUUCUUUAGAAUGUUCGUCGAGAAAAGGGAAACGGACCGAGACGACCGAGUUUUAACGCAGAAUAAAGUACAAGUGCUCGAUCGUUGAUCGAAUUAUCGUCUAUUUAUUGUUCUGCGUGUCCCUCGUUUUAGAUAUCUCGUAAAUUGUAAAUAUAUCAGUCGGCCGAUGGAGUCCUCGCGUUUAAAAAUGACGAAAAAGAAAAGCUCCUCUGUGAUAGUACCAAAUAGAUAGUCCCAACCAGAACGAUGUUCCGAGUUUAGCCACGAAAUUAAAGUAUAAACAGACUCGUUUAUAAUUGAUAACAAAAUCACAAUUGUACUGCAAGUUUACCAAAUCUUUACAUAAUUAAAAGCUGAAAUUUAAAUAGAUUUACAUAAUAAUGUACAUAUUUUAACACUUACUUUACUUUGAAUAUUUAUUCGCAAUUAAAUAAAUUCCAUGCGUCUUUUGUGUAUAAAAAAAAGUGCAAACUAUUCACGAUUAUUAGGAAAAACCACGUUGGGACUCCUUAAGGCAAAUCUUGACCUCUUCCUGCUUGUUAACCCUCGAUUAAGGCAAUUAACAGCGGAACGUGUACAUAUGCAGCGAAACCUUUUCAACGUCACGUGUACGCCAAGUGAUAAACGUGUGAACGUCUUUUAGAAAACGUUUUUAUUUACAAAACGUUCCAUUCAUCUUAUCACCGUUUACCAUUCGAAAGCAUUCUACUUGGAACAUUUUUCUGUUAAAUUGUUAAUAGCGAAACGUAUCUGAAUUUGAUUGAUUAUAAGUGAAUCAAAUAUUCUGCCCUAAUGCACGACAUGUGUAACGAAUUUUCCUGUGUAAACGCAGUUACAUGUAGACGUAGGGUCGUUUCCGUAGCGAUGCGCACCACAGGAAAUUCACGGCCAAAUAGGGAUACUCGUAUGCCCUUUACACAUACACGUGGACACACACGAGACACUUGUAAAAUUUCAUAGAGUCACACGGGUCACGCAGUCGUGACCCUUCUGUCAAAAGAAAAUAGAUAGAUAGAUAUUAAUAAAAAUUGUAAAGGUUCAUAGACAGUUUUUACCAGAACAAAACUCUUCAGACUGUAAAAAUUCUUCCCUGAAGUAAUUCGUGUAAUUAUUUAAUUAAUUAGCGGUGGAGUUUCAGUUCGUUUCUAUCUCGCGUGCGGAUGACAUUUAACGUACGUUUCCUCUUUCUCUUCCUGACAACUUCCUCGAAUAUUUCGCGAAACGACGCCGAUGGAAAUCGACCGAGAGCUCGAGGAGAAUUUGCCAAGAAAUCGUCGACCGCCCCGCGAAACCUGUACGUAUUAUCUAUUUAAAAAAAAAAAACGUUCAUUCGUCAAGAAGAAGACCGACACCGUGUAUAAUGUAUAUGAUAGAUACUAUGUCCCAACGAUAGCUGGUAAGAGUUAAUUAAUAUUUGUAGGUAAAGAUAUAGGAAUAAACGAAGUAGAAAGGCUGAUCUCCGCCGUGUAAUUUUUGUAUUUUUGAGAAAAGAGAGGCUGGCCGGCGACGAUUUAAAUAUUGUACGGUGACGAGACACAUUGUAAAACAGUACAACUUAUUAUUAUUAACAAUUAAAUAGUAGACGACAGCGAUUGUAACUACGAACUAAUCAUUGUAAUAUAAAAUUCGCGGCUGGGCGACGAGAGAAUAUCCCGCGGACGUUGAUCACGGCGAUUUCCUGGCGAACUCGAUUCUCGGUGGACGAAUUUAAGAGAGACAAAUAUUUUUGAAAACUUUUCCGGGAAGAUAUUUUACGCGAAAUUCAGAAAUACGGGUGACGAAAGAAGCAAAGAUUAGACGAGGUGGUAGGAGGCGGUAACGAAAAUUGAAUUUUCGACGGUUCGAUACGAGAUGAAAGCGUUUUCGGUCGAAUUUCCAUCUGCGUCGUCGCCAAAGCGUCGGGGGCUUCGUUCUCUUCGAUAUGUAUGUAACUAGAAAACGCGUGAUAAGACUCGAGGCCGUCGUGACGAAGACGGCGGCGUGUACUUAAUAAUUGUAAAUAAGGGAGGAACUGUAAAGAACCGCGGAGGGAGUAACCACUAAGUAACAUUAUGUGUCUACGAUGCCUAUUGUCUGUUUAAUCUAAUUGUAAGCAGCGACUCCGUUACCGAUCACUAUUAGAGCUAAUAAUAAUAAUAAUAAUUAAACAACAGUUUAAUCUA